GCGACAAACCGUGCGACAUUCGUCUUGUCGCUGCAUCCCAACACGAAUUGUACAGCCGAAGUCCGUAUCCAUACACGAUUCGAACCAAUACACUCACCCGUUCGGCAUCGGGUUGAUCAACAGUUCCCGAGCGCUUGUUGAACACCGUCCGCCGCCGAACCCAGGGGCCACCUCAACAAGUUGAAACGUGUUGAGGAAUCAGUUUGCAGUCAGCAAUCGUGCCAACCGGACGUGUUUCCCUGUUAGCUCUUCGCUUGUGCAAGAGGAAAAGGCAUUCUCUGUAGUUAGACGCGCGAGUUGUGGAAAAAGUUCUUUGUUUUCAUUCCGUGUCGUGGAUGCGUGUUAAGUGCCGUCAUCGAAGACAGAGCGUGCUGUCGGCGUUUUUCCCCCGAUUGUGGGAAAAGUGUUUCUCUAAGUUAGGUGAAUUCAAGAACAAGGAUUAUUCUGUGUUUUGUCGAGUUAUAGUGAAAAAAAGGUGAAGGUUCGUUCCUUCAGGAGAGAGUGACAUUGACUGAUAGUAUUUUACGGGAAACGCGAAAAAAGUGACACAAGACUGAUUUUAGCCAAACAGUGGACCAAAAAGCGAUCAUGGCUGUGGCAUUUUAUAUUCCCUCGGUGGACGAGGAAGAACCGGUGAAGCCCAACCAUCCUCAACAGGUUGGGCAGCAACAGCACCAGCAACAAUCGUCUAAUCAAACGACCAGUUCGGACUUGUCGCAACAAGUCUGUGCGGAGGCGGAGGCGGUGGCCGAACUCCAAAGGCACCACCUGAUGGUGGUGUUCCACGAGAUUUUGGUUGCCUAUGCGAGAGAAGCGGCCCUCGCGCAACACUCGCCAAACCCCAAGGCCCUGCCCACCACCGAGCCCUGCCUGCUCUGUAAAAAGCUCUACUACCUAUUCCGGCGAUUCUACUGACAACAUCACCAGAGCUGCCAGUCUGCCGUCCCGUCGGAAGAAGAGGAGAAUCGGUGCUGGAGCUGGUGCGACACCAGCGACAGCAACAGCACCGAUAACAUUAGCCAAAAACGUGCCAGGACUACUGAUACUACUACUAUUACUACUACUACCACUACUUCAACCACUAGAAAUAACCGAGAGCCUUCGGGUCGUCGUCGUCGUCGGAGGCGGAAGCCGGCGGUGCAGCAGCAAAAGCAUUCCGUAGAAACUGGGUCAAGGACGGCGACUGGUGCUUUCACGACCACCAGCGACGGUGCUGCCACCUCCUCCGACACGGCGGGCUCCGAUGGAACUGUUAGCUGUAAGCGUCGUCGUAAAUGGAGCGAGUUGUGAAUUUUUGGUGCUAUUAAAUUAAGCAAAACGCAGCGAGAGAGAUUGGGCGAAGGAAUGAUUCAUCCGCAUUUUGGCGCGCUCUCUCCUCGUCGCACACGUGCUCUCGUUCUCUUUCGCCGAUAAUCGAGGAGUGCGUGUGAGCCGGAGCAGAGCGAAUCGUGUUGAAUCGUGUUGCUUUGAUGGAUCUCUUGCCGGCGAACAUUAGAAAAGCGUUUGUGGAUUUUGAUCGGAAAAGAUGGUGCAAGAGCAGUAGGCUUCGGGUUCUUCGCUGAAUCCGGAUCCUCGCUCGAACCGGACGAUGGCUGUUGAGGAUGGUUUCGUAACUAGGCAACAAACGCAAUUACGCAAAACGUCAAAUAGUUUGUUGACAAUUAAAUUUUUGGAAACACUUUUCGGAGCGAACAAACUACGAGCAAUUAUACAAACUACAAUUGUAAGGAGCAAAUCCCUAAAAAAACCCUUUGUACAUUAAAGCAGUUAUUCUCGAGACCCCCUCUCUGUAUCGAUAUACUCUAAGUAAGUUCAUCGGAAUAGCUGUGACAAACCAAAGCAUCUGAUCAAAAGACAAAACAAAACCACGUUUUCUCACGUUUUUUCACCCGUAGUGCGUAAGUCUAUCUCUAAUCUUGUCGCGACAAGAUCCAGAACAAAUUGAACUAACUAUUUAUACCCAUUAUAUCGAACUGUAACAAAGCACAGAAGAUAAAAGACAAACUAGUAGAUGAAGCUGUUAGUUGUUUAAGUGAAUUGACAAACAAGAAAAAGCAUAUUGUGACCCCCCACUAGCGAGUAAGGCCCCCAUCGAUGAAGGAGCGAAGGAGAACAAGACAAAGACAAGCGCAAUUGUGAUAUCAAUGACUUCUUUUUUCUUAAUUUUUAAAGUGCGAAAUAUUUCUAUACAAAACCACACAUACAAAGGAAACGAAGCACUCUAGGUUGCCGUCUCUGCGGAGGAACAAAGUUACAACGGUAGGAAUCGAAUCGAUUUAAAAAUAACAAACGGAUACAAAACGGAAACCGCGGCUGCCGCGUUUACCCCCGGAUAUAGAGAUACACUGUAAAUAUUUAUUUUAAAAAUUGACAAAAAAGAGUAACGAACGACAAGUUUAAUGUCUAUAUAUACCUACGAAUACAUAUAUUUAACUAUCGACAUAUAAGGUUUCUUCUAAGUAUUUUUCUGCUUUUGAAUAUUGAAUACGCGUUCCGAACCGGAGAAGAAUUUAAUCGUGGUAGUGUAUUGGUACAAUAAGAUUUGUAGGUUUAAGAACAUAAGAACGAAACAAAAAAGUCACAAAAAGUCAACAAUCAACUUCAACUUUCUUAACAUUAACGAAUAGAUUUUAAAAACACCCUUAUCGAGUAAGGAUUUGUGCUAUUUUGUAAAUCGAACUCAAUCAAAAAUCCAACACGACGACGACGUUUGUUUGUAAAUAAUUUAUUUAGAGCUUUCGCCCCCAAGAAAGGUGCGAAAGUUUGGCAUUUGUUAGACCAAAAACUAAUGUGAAAAAAAAGUUUAUUGCAAAAAAAAUCGUAACUAAUUUGUAAUGCUGUAUUAGUUUAAUUUUGCAUUGAUUCCUCAGUUUACCAUUAAUUGUAAUACUUUUCUUUGUUGCGUACUUGAAUGGAAGGAUCGAAUGAGAAGGUGGUUUUUGAAAUAAAUCAAAAAGAGAAUGGUUUCGAUAAAUGA
rnacentral:lncRNA from 1 species